CUAGUCUUUCCCCGUUCUACUACAGUUUAUUUAAACUGUGUAAAGUACAGUAGGGUGGGGGAAGAUGGGAC
ensembl:miRNA cin-mir-5596a cin-mir-5596a